rnacentral:rRNA from 1 species
GACGAACGCUGGCGGCGUGCCUAAUACAUGCAAGUCGAACGCUUCUUUCCUCCCGAGUGCUUGCACUCAAUUGGAAAGAGGAGUGGCGGACGGGUGAGUAACACGUGGGUAACCUACCCAUCAGAGGGGGAUAACACUUGGAAACAGGUGCUAAUACCGCAUAACAGUUUAUGCCGCAUGGCAUAAGAGUGAAAGGCGCUUUCGGGUGUCGCUGAUGGAUGGACCCGCGGUGCAUUAGCUAGUUGGUGAGGUAACGGCUCACCAAGGCCACGAUGCAUAGCCGACCUGAGAGGGUGAUCGGCCACACUGGGACUGAGACACGGCCCAGACUCCUAAGGGAGGCAGCAGUAGGGAAUCUUCGGCAAUGGACGAAAGUCUGACCGAGCAACGCCGCGUGAGUGAAGAAGGUUUUCGGAUCGUAAAACUCUGUUGUUAGAGAAGAACAAGGACGUUAGUAACUGAACGUCCCCUGACGGUAUCUAACCAGAAAGCCACGGCUAACUACGUG